UCCUCGGUUCCCAAAUGCGUCUAUUUUAGAGGAUAGUCGUCAUUGAUUUGCAUCAAUAUGUCCAAAUGCGUCAACUUUGUCGGUGUAAAGAGUAGGGAGAAAGAAUCCUGGGGGGAUACAGGUUCAGGGGAUCCAGGCGUAGCUUUGCCUUUCACUGGCUGUGGGAACUUAGCCAUGUUACAUCACCUCAUCGCGCCUCUGUUUCCUCAUCUGAAAAAUUAACAUAAUUAUUCCGCCUACCUCAUGGAGCUGGUUACGGAGGAUUCAAUGAGGCAAUUCGUAGAAAUAGUUAAAGCUGUACCUGACGCUUAGGAGGCAUGACUUAUGAAGCAUAGACACUUCAGAGAGGUAAACGCUUACCUCCCGAAAGGACUAAAUCUGACUUCUUAUUUAAAUGGCUCAUCUGUCCAUUCAUUCAUUCAACACACAUUCACUAAGUCCAUAUUAUGAGCCAGCAGCGGGUGGCCACCAGGCAAACAAAUAUAAAUAAACUACCGCUCUUCGCCAGUAGGAGCUCAGACGUGUAAACAAAAAAUCUGCCGCGACGAGGGAGGUGCUGGGAGAGCAUUUCUGCGGGAACACGGAGACGGGAACGUGCAGCCUCCUACCUCGCCCUGGAGGAGUCAGGAUGGCCGCCCGGAAGUGAGGUUCCACAGAAGGUGAAGAGGGAAAGGGCAUUCCAAUGGAGGGCACAGCAUGUUUAAGCAAAGACCCAAAUGGAGGAAGAGCAGAUCCCCUGUGGAGGAUACAGAACACGCUAAUAGAAGCCAGAUCUUUUUGGUUAGUUUUGAUGGAGCUUCAUGGAGUUAUAACUCUGACAGUGGUAUUUUCAUUAAGAGGAGAAUGGUUUACUGUCCAAACUGGAAAUGGUGUCUUCUUGAUGGGAUUGCAGCUGGAAUAAAUGGAGUGAAGACGAACAGAAAAGCAGGCACCUGGCUCUUCUUCCUUAUUCUACACUUCUGAGUGAGUUCUGGUCCCUCCCAGCCUCAAUUUCCCCAUUGCUAUGGGAACUGAAAUCAAUCCUACGGCCCACAGUGUCUCCUGCAAAUGAGCUGGAUUAGUGUUCACCACCCUGAGCCCUCCAAUAUCCAGCACUGUAAAUUUCAGUUGUAAUUGCCGGUAUUACUCAGACAAGGAAAAGAAAUAUUUCCAGUUCUGGGAAGAGCAGGGCUAACAGCUGUAGCUGAACACGAGACGGGGGAGGAUGACAAACCACAGACGUGCCCAGCUCUUGGGUGCUCCGAAGGGAACCUGGGCAGAAAAUGGCGGCCCCCGUCAGGCAUUUAAAUCUGUGCUUGCUGAUUCAGUCACACAUACCGGUGGUUAAGGCUCCUGUCUGUGCACCAUCACAGAAAGGAUAGAGUUUCUUGACUCCUAUCAACUCACGUCCCACCUCAGAGGGCUGGCCCUCAGCACAGCGUUGGUCAAAACGUGACAUUCCCUGAGAGAUUGGGAAUUCCAAUGUUUAUCAUAUGUUCCAGCUUUGCUUCUUUGAUCAGAGAAGAUCCCCAAAGAGGGACUCAUCAACAGAUGAUUUUGGUCAUUCCUCGAUGAUAUAAAAUGCAAGACACAAACAUCUCAUAUGCCUUGUUUGUUCUACUGUUCAUGCAGCCAGUUUUGUAACCACAAGAAUCUUUUUUAGAAGAAUAGAUGGCUGGGUCUGGGGGUAGGACUGGGGGGUAGGAAAUUUUUGGGCUUCCAGAUAAUACACUGGUUAAUUAUGGGACUUCUUAUAGUGUUUUGAGCUGGUUCAGUAGGGGAGAAACAGGGAUGAGCAUGCCCAAGUUUAGAAUUUAGAAUGGUCUAAGUUCAUUCCAAAGUGUUUAUGUGAGUAUAUAUGUGAACGUGUGUGUGUGAUCAUCUUUUUUUUAUUUAUUUAUUUUGAGGGAGAGGAAGAGAGAGCAUGAGCAGAGAGGGACAGAGAGAGAGGGAGAGAGAGACAAUCCCAAGCAGGCUCUGAGCUGUCAAUGUGGAGCUCAACAUGGGGCUCGAUCCCAUGACUGUGAGACCAUGACCUGAGCUGAAAUCAAGAGUCAGAUGUUCAACCAACUGAGCCACCCAGGUGCCCCUCAUCAUAGAUAAUUCUUAAAUCUUCUAUUUUCUUGAGAACAAUAUUAUGAACUGCAUCAUUUCAUGUAAAAACAUAACUCACAGAUACAACAUGUCUUUAACAAAAUUCUACUAGAAAGUGAGAAAGGUAUUAACAUGUAUCCAGGAGACAAAUCAGCGUUUGUGAAAAUCAUGGUGUCAUUUAUGAUACUUGUCAACUAGUUGUAGGCCAGUGGGGGGGAGGGUACCCAUUCAUUCAUUCCCUCAUCAGCAGAUAUUACUAAACAUCCACUCUAGCUUGAACCACAUAAACCUUCCAACAUUUGAGCUUUUAAUCUAUGAAAAUAGACAUCUCACAUGGUUCCACAUGCACCGUGCUAGGUACUGUGUUAGGUAUGGGGAUAGAAGAAUAAGAAACAAGAAGAAUGGAUUUGUAAACAGCAGUGCAAUGAAGGGUCACAAGUGCUGUAAUGGGAACAUGUAGAAAAGCCUGUGAGGACCCAGGGAAGGCGGAAGUCGGAGUGGGAAAGUCUAUUGUGGUGAACACGGUAAUCUUCUCAGUAGAUGAUGCAAUCUUCUUUUUAAAAUUAUUAGUGGUAUUAGCUAAUUUAAACGGAGGAUUUCUAUUACAGCUCCAUGUUAAGAAUUUUAUAUUUAUCUCAUGUUAUCCUCACAGACCCCUAUGGAGUAGGAGUCAUCAUAAUCCCCAUAUUUCAGAAGAGGAAACAGAAGAGUAGAGAGUUUAAGGACUAUACUCAGAUUACACAGCUGGUGAGUGCUGGAGCUAGGAUUCACCCUGUCACCGUGUAGACACAACCAUAUCAUGACCAUGUAAACACAACGUUGUCCUGGUUGUGAAUAAAUAGCAGUAACAAGAACAAAGACUUCUGACUUUUCAGGUCAAAUCCGUCUUGGGACCCAUAACCCACUUGGUUUCAACCCCUGAGAGACAGUUUUCUGGUACCAGUCUAGACCACUUGGCAUUGAAGCAAAUAGGAACAUACUUACACUCACAUUCACACGCGCACGCACACGUAUGCUCCCAGGCCCACUUUGGAGUGGACUUACCCCCUUUCUGAGGCCUGAACUUAUACCUACUGAAGAACACAAUGCAAAGGCGGUAAAAUGUGGUGGUUUCUCAAGCAAUUCCCUAUUGUGAAAUGGAACGAGAACGUUGCCAUGAUGUAAAUUCCAGGGAUAUUACAUGAAGGAGCCAGCUACUGUUUUGUAUAGUGAUUGGUCCUCCUUGGAAGAAUUUCAAAUGGUCAUUAUUCAUUGGCAUAGCCUCAGGGAAGAUGAGGGGAAUAAAAAAAAAAUUGUAAGUUAGAGCCCUUGAGGCUUUUUAUCAGGCACCACCUUGUCAUAAACACAAUGAGAUUGGGUUUCCUGGGUGUUCUCAGGGCUCAUUAUGCAACAAGCCCCUGGCUCUGUCCUUCCCAGAAAAAGUCCAAAAGCCACUCUUGCAAUGUAGUCUCCCCAAUGACCUCAGCAGGGCACGGACAGCCAGGGCUCGGAGUGUGAUUCUCAUAGUCCUGGGAUGGAAAAGAGGACUCAGUGUGGAAGGGAAAACAAGGAGAACACACCAUCAGGCGACUGUGUCCACCACCUCCUUCUCCUACCAUUUCUCGGAUUCCUGACCUCAGCUGUGGGCAGCAGUAGCCUUUGUAAGGAGAAAACCAAGACUCAAGCUCUAAUGAAUGGACUGACAGGUGAUUCAAAAGAGGUGUCCUCCUCCUUUCAUCAUGUGAGAAUAGAAGCUUCAACCAGAAGAGGACCCUCACCCAACCAUGCUGGCACCUUGAUCUUGGACUUCCAGCCUCCAGAACUGUGAAAAAUAGAUUUCUGUGGUUUAUAAGCCAAAAAAAAAAAAAGGUAUUAUAUGGAAUAUGUCAACCAGAAAUGUGAAGAACCAAAAAAAUGGGGAAGGAGUCAUGAAAAGAGACUUAUCGUUAGUGAAAGGAAAAUGGCGGCCCUGAGAGGGGAGGGGUUGGCUGUGGCUGAUACACCACAACCUGCCACGUCAGUGACAGCAGUGCUGUGAGAAUAGGCAAGUCCCCAAAUUGCACUGGUUUAGCACCACAUUCAUUGUUUGCUUAAAGACCAGUCUCAGGGAAUCCUUCGCUAACACAGUAUUUCACGGAGCCAGCCAGAUGAUGGAGGGUGACAGAGAACUUGCAAGAUCACGGGUGUUCAUGGGCCAGGCCCGAGUGUCACACAUCACUGUCGCCUACAUUCCUGACCUGGAACCGAGCCAGCGUGGACCCACGCAGAUACCAGGACAGCCACUUCCCAGCCAUGACUCUACGCUGGAGAAGGGAAGCCUGAAUCUUCCGCGGGUAGCCGCUGUCUUCGCCACACCUGCACGCGUAUUACGAUACAACGAAUGAACUUCAAAAGACUGUUUGAGAGAGUCCCACUCUCCAAUCAGUCACUCAUUUCAAGGAAGCACUCACAUGGAUGGCAUCGAGGGUCAAACCACUGAGAAGGGAACCUGUGAGUUUACUGCAAUUUGUGACCUAAAUUAUGUUUCUUGUGAAUACCACUCUUUUUAUGGUGCUCUAAUUUGGAAACAUUUUCUGUUAGAUCCUAGGUGCCUGGAAAUGUUACUGUAUUAAUCACUUUCGAAUUAGCAUUUUUUUAAUGGUAAAUCGAAGUUUGUCAGGAUGCUUUAUUACGGUAUCAUGGACACUUCCUUUGGUUGAUAUAUAUUGUAGAGACGUGACAAAGACAGUAAGACCCAUAUCCGUAUCAAUGUGGUGUCUGUGUUUUUAAGACACUUCAAAUUAAAAAGGGGUUUGCAUUUAAUGAAUCUUUAAAUGAUUUCCUUUGUGUCUUGAGCUGUCAUCCUGAUCAUUUGCCCCGUAGUUCUUGUUAAGCAGCAGCAGUAGCAGAAGUCCUCAGACAUAGAAUAGAGGGGGCUAUCUUCUGUCUGCCUGGAAUGUGUUCAUAUGUGGUCAUGAGGGGUCCUCUGUAAGCAGAUAGUGGGAGCAGGGCAUUACCAAAUCUUUACAGUUCCAAAAGGUGAGGGGCCUUUCCCCAUCUCAUCCUUUCUGAGCAUUUCAGUUCUGAACACAUGAGCAGCGGAAACUCUGGGUGUACAGGGGAGGAAAAUGAUAAUUUACAGUCCCGUGUAAGAUACUUAUUUGAAACUAGAUUGAAAUAUGUCUAUAUCAGAUCUCCAUUUUUCUGGGUAUCGGUCUAUGUGUAUCUACCUUGUUUAUGUUCUGCCAUUAUUCCCACCGAGUAAGUCUCAUCCUUGUGAUACACUUCUUCAUGUCAGGGAUUGUUUCUUCUAUUAUUUUUAUAACUCUACCUCUACCACCAAAGUGUGUGCAUGCAUGCAAGCACACACACAUGCACACACAUACAUACACACACACAUGACACAGCUUGAAAAGGCAGCCCAUGACUUGAAGUUGAUUUUGCUGUUUUCUUAUUGAAGAAGCAAGAUAUAGUGGCAAAAGAAAAAGAUGACAAUUCAAAAUGAUAUAUUAGAAUCAAGUAAGACAGUGAGUAAGUGAUGGGAGAGCUCCAACAUUUUAGGCAGCAAUGGAGAAAGGUGGGGGAGCGUGAAGUGUAUACUCUAGGUUGAGUUAUCCUACGUUAAAGGGCUAUUCUGGAAGUUACACUCAGUAGUUCAGUUUAGACUCUAUUUGUCAGAACCUAGCUACAGGUCCGUCCUUGCUGCAAGGGAAUCUGGGAAGCAUAAAUUUUGGUUGGAUGUUUUGUGACUGGGAUAAAAUUGGAGUAUUUUUAGUAGAGAAGGGGAGAAUGGGCUUUAGACAGUCCAUUCACUGUGUCUAGCAGAUCCAAGUUAUGCUUUGGGGGCCAUCACUGGAAAUGGAGUCCUAGAACAAAAUACAAUCAGUUACAGAAAAAAGGCUAAACUCGGGGUGCCUGGGUGGCUCAGUCGGUUAAGCGUCCGACUUCGGCUCAGGUCAUGAUCUCACGGUUUGUGAGUCCGAGCCCCACAUCAAGCUCUGUGCUGACAGCUGGGGGCCUGGAACCUGCUUCAGAUUCUGUGUCUCCGUCUC